AGCGGGGUAGAUGAAUUGGUCGACCCAUUAGGCCCAUGACCUGAAGGUUGCAAGUUCGAAUCCUGUUCCCGCCU